rnacentral:rRNA from 1 species
GAUGAACGCUGGCGGCGUGCCUAAUACAUGCAAGUCGAGCGAACAGACGAGGCGCUUGCUCCUCUGACGUUAGCGGCGGACGGGUGAGUAACACGUGGAUAACCUACCUAUAAGACUGGGAUAACUUCGGGAAACCGGAGCUAAUACCGGAUAAUAUAUUGAACCGCAUGGUUCAAUAGUGAAAGACGGUUUUGCUGUCACUUAUAGAUGGAUCCGCGCCGCAUUAGCUAGUUGGUAAGGUAACGGCUUACCAAGGCAACGAUGCGUAGCCGACCUGAGAGGGUGAUCGGCCACACUGGAACUGAGACACGGUCCAGACUCCUACGGGAGGCAGCAGUAGGGAAUCUUCCGCAAUGGGCGAAAGCUUGACGGAGCAACGCCGCGUGAGUGAUGAAGGUCUUCGGAUCGUAAAACUCUGUUAUUAGGGAAGAACAAAUGUGUAAGUAACUAUGCACGUCUUGACGGUACCUAAUCAGAAAGCCACGGCUAACUACGUG